GCAGGGGUACCGAAGUGGACAAACGGAACGCGUUUAGGCCGCGUUGGCUUAGUGCCUUCGGAGGUUCGAAUCCUCCCUCCUGCA
rnacentral:tRNA from 1 species